rnacentral:rRNA from 1 species
GGGACCCUACGGGGGGCAGCAGUGAGGAAUAUUGGCCCUGGGCGGGAGCCUGAACCAGCCAAGUCGCGUGAAGGAAGAAGGUACUUAGUAUUGUAAACUUCUUUUGUCGGGGAACAACGGCGGAGACGCGUCUCCGGAUGAGUGUACCCGCAGAAAAAGCAUCGGCUAACUCCGUGCCAGCAGCCGCGGUAAUACGGAGGAUGCGAGCGUUAUCCGGAUUUAUUGGGUUUAAAGGG